UACGAAGGGAGCUAGCGUUGUUCGGAAUCAUUGGGCGUAAAGCGCACGUAGGCGGAUGUGUCAGUCAGGGGUGAAAUCCCGGAGCUCAACUUCGGAACUGCCCUUGAUACAGCACGUCUUGAGUCCGGAAGAGGUGGGUGGAAUUCCUAGUGUAGAGGUGAAAUUCGUAGAUAUGUGGAGGAACACCAGUGGCGAAGGCGACUCUCUGGGCUGUAACUGACGCUGAGGCGCGAAAGCGUGGGGAGCAAACAGG
rnacentral:rRNA from 1 species